CUUUUUUAAAACUCGAAAUUUUGACUUAUUUUAAACUCGAAAUUUCAACUUAUUUUAAACUCAAAAUUUCGACUUUUUUUAAACUCAAAAUUUCGCUUUUUUUUUAAAUCGAAAUUUCGACUUUGAUCUCUUUUAAAACUUUGAUGUUAGUAUUCAAACACAGUUAUUACAAUUUUAGAAGGAGUAGCCAUGGACGCAAAUUAUUAAAGCGUCAUCAACACAUUUUGGCAAUUUAUAUUUUGAAAUAGGUUUUGUUCCAUGUUUUAGUUCCCACGACACUGUCAUAGAAUCGUCAUAUCUGAGAACAUAUAGCAUCGCAGUUUCAAAGGCCUGUUUGGUUUCCCAAUAGCAAGUCACUGACUUUGCCUUGUUUAAACAAUGGUAAAUCAAGUAGCCAAAAAUGCCAUGCAUAUUCAGGACGACAAAUGAGCUGCUCGGUUUUCU
rnacentral:lncRNA from 1 species